rnacentral:misc_RNA from 1 species
ACAAAACAGACGUGCACGCGUUAUCUAUCCGUCCAGGCGGCGGCACCGUUCGUCGCUUGGCCAAAGUCCUCAAAAACCUCCUCUCCUCGGAGCGGGGGCUUGGGGUAAAAGAACCCACGGCGCCGAAGGCGUCAAGGAACACUGUGCCUAACCCGGGGACGCGGCUGGCUUGCUAGCUGCCCCCGUGUUGCGAUGCUAUAUAAUCCACACGACUCUCGGCAACGGAUAUCUCGGCUCUCGCAUCGAUGAAGAACGUAGCGAAAUGCGAUACCUGGUGUGAAUUGCAGAAUCCCGCGAACCAUCGAGUCUUUGAACGCAAGUUGCGCCCGAGGCCACCUGGCCGAGGGCACGCCUGCCUGGGCGUCACGCUAAAUACGCUCCCACACCCCUCAUCGGGCAGUGGGAUGCGGCAUAUGGCCCCCCGUCACGCAAGAGGCGGUGGGCCGAAAAUGCGGCUGCUGGCGUAUCGUGCCGGACACAGCGCGUGGUGGGCGAMCUCGCUUUACUUACCGCAAUGCAUCCGACACGUAACCGACGUGAUGGCCUUAACGGACCCUAUGAACGGAGCGCAUGACUUUCGACC